UCCCUGUUGGCUCAGAUGGUAAAGCGUCUGCCUACAAUGUGGGAGACCCAGGUUCAAUCCCUAGGUUGGGAA
rnacentral:tRNA from 1 species